rnacentral:rRNA from 1 species
GACGAACGCUGGCGGCGUGCUUAACACAUGCAAGUCGAACGGAAAGGCCCUUCGGGGUACUCGAGUGGCGAACGGGUGAGUAACACGUGGGUGAUCUGCCCUGCACUUUGGGAUAAGCCUGAGAAACUGGGUCUAAUACCGAAUAGGACCACGCGCUUCAUGGUGUGUGGUGGAAAGCUUUUGCGGUGUGGGAUGGGCCCGCGGCCUAUCAGCUUGUUGGUGGGGUAAUGGCCUACCAAGGCGACGACGGGUAGCCGGCCUGAGAGGGUGACCGGCCACACUGGGACUGAGAUACGGCCCAGACUCCUACGGGAGGCAGCAGUGGGGAAUAUUGCACAAUGGGCGCAAGCCUGAUGCAGCGACGCCGCGUGAGGGAUGACGGCCUUCGGGUUGUAAACCUCUUUCAAUAGGGACGAAGCGCAAGUGACGGUACCUAUAGAAGAAGCACCGGCCAACUACGUG